GCCUGGGUGGCUCAGUUGGCUGAGCAUCUGACUUCAGCUCAGGUCACGAUCCCACAUUUCAUGGGUUCGAGCCCCAUGUCAGGCU
rnacentral:tRNA from 1 species